AGAGUUUGAUCCUGGCUCAGGAUGAACGCUGGCGGCGUGCCUAACACAUGCAAGUUGAACGAAGCGCUUACAACUAAAUCCUUCGGGAGGAAGAAGUAAGCGACUUAGUGGCGGACGGGUGAGUAACGCGUGGGCAACCUGCCCUGUACAGGGGGACAACAGCCGGAAACAGCUGCUAAUACCCCAUAAGCGCACAGUAACGCAUGUUACAGUGUGAAAAGCCGAGACGGUACAGGAUGGGCCCGCGUCUGAUUAGAUAGUUGGUGGGGUAGAGGCCUACCAAGUCAGCGAUCAGUAGCCGGCCUGAGAGGGUGAACGGCCACAUUGGAACUGAGACACGGUCCAGACUCCUACGGGAGGCAGCAGUGGGGAAUAUUGCACAAUGGGGGAAACCCUGAUGCAGCAACGCCGCGUGAAGGAAGAAGUAUUUCGGUAUGUAAACUUCUAUCAGCAGGGAAGAAAAAGACGGUACCUGACUAAGAAGUCCCGGCUAACUACGUG
rnacentral:rRNA from 1 species